UUGACAGCAGACAGUUAUCAGUUUUGUUUUUACUCUUCCCCUUCCCACGCAAGAAUUUGUUUGUUUUUAUUCGCGAGAAUCAGACCGCCACGGGUAAACAUCUUCCGAAAGUUUUGUCUGAUUCCUUUUGGCAUGGCUGCUCGUCAUAAAGGAAAAAGUUGUAAACCGUUUGCUUCAACAUUGACCGCUACUGGAUAGGCCUGCCGUUUGCUGUGCGAUUAUUUUGACUGGAGAAAAGUCAAACUGCUUUGGAUGCUAACUACCAUGAGCGAUUUUAUGCUGAUUGUCGGUGGAAAUGGACAAUGAUGGAAGACGUCCUUACAGUCUCACAAAACUGUCUGAAAAUGCCCGUUUUCCGUUCAAAGCCAACGCCAUUCGAAGAGGGCACAAUAUGUCGAAGAGGGCACAGCAACAAGCGAUAGCCCGCAAACUACGUUUUCUAUGUUAAGAAUAAAUAGUUGUAAAUGGAGAGCAACUUUUACAUAAUCCAAGUUUAAAUAAAUAUGCCAUGGGUUCGGACUUAAGGCUGCCUUACACCUCGGGAAAAUUUUCCGCCGGAUAACCAGUAGGAUCCGGAUUUAGAAGUCGUAAAUUUCUAAUAACUACUGUUGUAGAAUCACUCGACAUGAGAGAGAACGAUCACACACGAAACACGACUUACCUCACAGAAGUCUGUACUGAAAAAUGGCGACGAAUCAUAAGGAUUCAAAACCACAUCCGCUUUAGCGUUGUUUUGCAGUGCGAGCCAGUGGUACCAACAUUUCCUCGCAGUGGUACCAAUAAUGCAAGACAGUGCUACCAAUACCAUUGUCAGAUGAGGGAAAGGAUUCUCAUGAAUCGUAAGGCUAGUAGGCACCUCACACUUUUAAAUCUACACCCAAAGAUAUUUGAAAACACUCUUAAAUUGGAGUUAUAACUAUCAUUUUAAAUUAUUUUACUUUUAUUUUAAAGAAAAUUCAACACUUUUCAUAUAGACAGUACUAUAUUUUCCGUAGCACAAUACUAUUUUUUUCAAUACAAUAUGUCGAAGAGGGCACAGCAACAAGCGAUAGCCCGCAAACUACGUUUUCUAUGUUAAGAAUAAAUAGUUGUAAAUGGAGAGCAACUUUUACAUAAUCCAAGUUUAAAUAAAUAUGCCAUGGGUUCGGACUUACUGCGACUUUUGAGAGUAAAGGAAAUGUAAAACAUUUCAAGGACCUUUUGCUGUACAUCGA